rnacentral:rRNA from 1 species
UCGACCUGAGCUCAGGCAAGGGC